UGUCAAUGUCACAACAUUAAAUCCUUCGAUAUUAUAAUUUAUAUUGAACUAGCAAUUCGGACAUCUGUGAACUGCGAUAGCAGAUAUCUAAGAGAAUAGAAAUAAAAGGCGAGCGGAGUUACGCAAUCGUGCCAUUCUACUAGAAUAAUUCCUGCGAUGAGAAUCCGCUAAGGAAAAUCGCAAAACGCCAAUCUUCUUAAAACAUUCCCAGUCGCAUGUUAAAUAUUUUCACAUUUUUUCGCUUGCUGUCCCCGAAAAAAAAGUACAUCAAAUUAACUAAAUGUACAUUGAGGUUAGGUUACAGCCGCUGCUCAUUCUUCAUUGUUAGGCGCUGACAACGUUGCAAACAGCAGUCGUAGGAAUCAAACAAGACUGGUUGAGAGUAAUGAGGCCACCGGAAAAAAAGUUUGCCUAGUUAGUCAAAUCCUAAACGGACGAGUUUGUUCGUUGUUGAUUUAAUUAAAAAAUAACUUUUUAUCGCAAUUGAAUUUGUGAAACUUAAACUGACUCGUUCAAAUUAGUAGUUGCAAGAUAAGAUACUCUGGGUUGGCACAAAAGAAAGUUUGAGAUUUAACUGAAAUGAAUUAAGAAUCGCGGGCUGGAGUUUGAACAAGCAGAUGAAGUAAUGUCAGUAAUGACUAGUGAUUCGUGCAAAACAGGCGCUGUGAAAUCGAGACGCAGGCGUUCGCACAGGAAAUGCGAAGCGAUAGUCGAGAGAUAAGCUUGAAUUCUCCACUGUCGGCACGCAGAAAGCGCAAUCCUUGCUCGGCGAUGUGCUUUGAAUGGCAGGAAAACGUUCAAACAAAUUGAACAGUAGCGCCGCGCCAGCCUGCUGCAAGAAGGAAGGAAGAGCAGUGGUGAGUGGUGAUGAACUUGUAAAGCCUACAGCGCUAGCUUUUCCUAGUCCUUCGAGACACGAAUUCAUCCCUCAAGAGAAUUUCUGCUGUUAAAAUUCUUUCCAAUUAUAUCAGCAGAUGUUUUUUUUUUGUAUUGCGCUAAUCCUUACAAAUAAAAAAGACAAAGUA